rnacentral:RNase_P_RNA from 2 species
CUUAGGUGAAGGACUAUCACUCGCCUUAGGCGAGAGGAAAGUCCGGACAGCUAAAAGGCAGGGUGUUCCGCGAAAGCGGGAGAUUCCUUCAGUAAUGGAGGGAGACAGUAUAGAGCAACAGAGACGAGUUCGCCUUAGGCGAGAGUGAAACGCCCGAAAGGGCCCCCUUUGGGGGUGGCAAUCCUCCCUGCUGCAACCUGCGUACGGUACGCCCCGCUUUGCGGGGUAAAGGAUGCCUUUUUCCGGCCGUGUCAGGGCAUAGACAGAUGAUAGUUUACCCCGAUUUAAUCGGGGUCGAACAGAAUCCGGCUUACUCUCACCUAAGACUU